UGGGGAAUAUUGGACAAUGGGGGCAACCCUGAUCCAGCAAUGCCGCGUGUGUGAAGAAGGUCUUCGGAUUGUAAAGCACUUUCGACGGGGACGAUGAUGACGGUACCCGUAGAAGAAGCCCCGGCUAACUUCGUGCCAGCAGCCGCGGUAAUACGAAGGGGGCUAGCGUUGCUCGGAAUGACUGGGCGUAAAGGGCGUGUAGGCGGUUUACACAGUCAGUGUGAAAUCCCCGGGCUUAACCUGGGA
rnacentral:rRNA from 1 species